UACGAAGGGGGCUAGCGUUGUUCGGAAUCACUGGGCGUAAAGGGCGCGUAGGCGGCUUUUCAAGUCGGGGGUGAAAGCCUGUGGCUCAACCACAGAAUUGCCUUCGAUACUGUUAGGCUUGAGACCGGAAGAGGUGAGUGGAACUGCGAGUGUAGAGGUGAAAUUCGUAGAUAUUCGCAAGAACACCAGUGGCGAAGGCGGUUGCCUGGGGCUUUGCUGACGCUGAGGAGCGAAAGCGUGGGGAGCGAACAGG
rnacentral:rRNA from 1 species